rnacentral:lncRNA from 1 species
CGUUAAAUAAAGGCAACAGUAGUAUACCGCUGUUCAAACUCAUAAAUCCAUGGACAAAAAACAAAAUCGGGGUAACAAACUAAAACUGAGGGAAACGCAUUAAAUAUAAGAGGAGAACAACGACACAACACUACAAUGUAACACACACAGAAACGGACCAAGCAUCAGACAAAAUCCCACGAGAAUAACAAAUAUAACAUCAAAACCAAAUACUUGAAUUUGGGAUAGACAAGUACCGUGACACGUCUUAUCGCAAUGUGAAUUUACACUCAAAAAUAAGAGAAAACAAACGACGAAACGUUAAA